rnacentral:rRNA from 1 species
CAGUCGAACGGAGAUAUUCGCUGAUGAAGUACUUCGGUAAUGAAUCUUGGAUAUCUUAGUGGCGGACGGGUGAGUAACGCGUGAGCAACCUGCCUUUCAGAGGGGGAUAACGUUUGGAAACGAACGCUAAUACCGCAUGACAUUAUCUUAUCGCAUGGUAGGAUAAUCAAAGGAGCAAUCCGCUGAAAGAUGGGCUCGCGUCCGAUUAGGUAGUUGGUGGGGUAACGGCCCACCAAGCCGACGAUCGGUAGCCGGACUGAGAGGUUGGACGGCCACAUUGGGACUGAGACACGGCCCAGACUCCUACGGGAGGCAGCAGUAAGGGAUAUUGGUCAAUGGGGGAAACCCUGAACCAGCAACGCCGCGUGAGGGAAGACGGUUUUCGGAUUGUAAACCUCUGUCCUCUGUGAAGAUGAUGACGGUAGCAGAGGAGGAAGCUCCGGCUAACUACGUGCCAGCAGCCGCGGUAAUACGUAGGGAGCGAGCGUUGUCCGGAUUUACUGGGUGUAAAGGGUGCGUAGGCGGCUUGGCAAGUCAGUAGUGAAAUCCAUGGGCUUAACCCAUGAACUGCUAUUGAAACUGUCGAGCUUGAGUGAAGUAGAGGUAGGCGGAAUUCCCGGUGUAGCGGUGAAAUGCGUAGAGAUCGGGAGGAACACCAGUGGCGAAGGCGGCCUACUGGGCUUUAACUGACGCUGAGGCACGAAAGCGUGGGUAGCAAACAGGAUUAGAUACCCUGGUAGUCCACGCUGUAAACGAUGAUUACUAGGUGUGGGUGGACUGACCCCAUCCGUGCCGGAGUUAACACAAUAAGUAAUCCAC